rnacentral:rRNA from 1 species
GACGAACGCUGGCGGCGUGCCUAAUACAUGCAAGUAGAACGCUGAAGAGAGGAGCUUGCUCUUCUUGGAUGAGUUGCGAACGGGUGAGUAACGCGUAGGUAACCUGCCUGGUAGCGGGGGAUAACUAUUGGAAACGAUAGCUAAUACCGCAUAAAAUUGAUUAUUGCAUGAUACUUAAUUGAAAGAUGCAACUGCAUCACUACCAGAUGGACCUGCGUUGUAUUAGCUAGUUGGUGAGGUAACGGCUCACCAAGGCGACGAUACAUAGCCGACCUGAGAGGGUGAUCGGCCACACUGGGACUGAGACACGGCCCAGACUCCUACGGGAGACAGCAGUAGGGAAUCUUCGGCAAUGGGGGGAACCCUGACCGAGCAACGCCGCGUGAGUGAAGAAGGUUUUCGGAUCGUAAAGCUCUGUUGUAAGAGAAGAACGGGUGUGAGAGUGGAAAGUUCACACUGUGACGGUAUCUUACCAGAAAGGGACGGCUAACUACGUG